rnacentral:lncRNA from 1 species
GGUGCAUAAUCGAAAAAGACGUGAAACUUAAUAUUAUGCAGUUUCCAACCUAAUGUUCUAUCCAGUUUUAAGGAUAUUAAGCAAAGUUGUAGCCCUCAUCAAGACGAACAAGUUUCGUUAAUAUCUUCUUAACAAAAAAUGCAAGCGUAAGGUUUUACGUUCUGCGCAUGCGCAGACCUUCUCCUUCCCAGCCGGCAUUUCGGUCUGGAGCUCUAUCUGCCUGAAACUUUGGCCGAAAAGUUGAUGUCACGAAAAAUGUCCAUGAAAUCAUUUUCUGAAUCAGAAUUUUACGCUAAAUCCAAUGGUGAUAGUGUCGUCCCCAGCCGCCGCAUUGGUCCGGAGUUAUGGAAGGUUAUGUACUGCGCAUGCGCAGAUCUAUCUUCGUAAAUACGCAUAAUUUGUUGAAAGGAUGUUAAGCAAAGUUGUAGCACUCAUCAAGGCGAAAAACAUUCGUUAAUGUCUUCUUAACAAAAUAUGCAAGCGUAAGGUUUUACCUUCUGCGCAUGCGCAGACUUUCUCCUUCCCAGCCGGAAUUUCGGUCUUGAGCUCUAUCUGGCUGAAACUUUCGCGGAAAAGUUGAUGUCACGAAAAAUGUCCAUGAAAUCAUUUUCUGAACCAGAAUUUUACGCUGAAUCCAAUGGUGAUAGUGUCGUCCCCAGCCGCCGCAUUGGUCCCGAGUUAUGGAAGGUUAUGUACUGCGCAUGCGCAGAACUAUCUUCGUAAAUACGCAUCUUUUGUUGAAAGGAUAUUAAGCAAAGUUGUAGCCCUCAUCAAGGCAAACAACAUUCGUUAAUGUCUUCUUAACAAAAUAUGCUUCCCAGCCGGUAAUUCGGUCUGGACCUCUAUUUGGCUGAAACUUUCGCGGAAAAGUUGAUGUCACGAAAAAUGUCCAUGAAAUCAUUUUCUGAAUCAAAAUUUUACGCUGCAUCCAGUGGUGAUAGUGUCGUCCCCAGCCGCCGCAUUGGUCCCGAGUUAUGGAAGGUUAUGUACUGCGCAUGCGCAGAACUAUCUUCGUAAAUACGCAUCUUUUGUUGAAAGGAUAUUAAGCAAAGUUGUAGCCCUCAUCAAGGCGAACGACAUUCGUUAAUGUCUUCUUGACAAAAUAUGCAAGCGUAAGGUUUUACGUUCUGCGCAUGCGCAGACCUUCUCUUUCCCAGCCGGAAUUUCGGUCUGGAGCUCUAUCUGGCUGAAAGUUUCGCGGAAAAGUUGAUGUCACGAAAAAUGUCCAUGAAAUUAUUUUCUGAAUCAGAAUUAUACGCUGAAUCCAAUGGUGAUAGUGUCGUCCCCAGCCGCCGCAUUGGUCCCGAGUUAUGGAAGGUUAUGUACUGCGCAUGCGCAGAACUAUCUUCGUAAAUACGCAUCUUUUGUUGAAAGGAUAUUAAGCAAAGUUGUAGCCCUCAUCAAGGUGAACAACAUUCGUUAAUGUCUUCUUAACAAAAUAUACAAGCGUAAGGUUUUACCUUCUGCGCAUGCGCAGACCUUCUCCUUCCCAGCCGGAAUUUCGGUCUUGAGCUCUAUCUGGCUGAAACUUUCGCGGAAAAGUUGAUGUCACGAAAAAUGUCCAUGAAAUCUUUUUCUGAAUCAGAAUUUUACGCUGAACCCAAUGGUGAUAGUGUCGUCCCCAGCCGCCGCAUUGGUCCCGAGUUAUGGAAGGUUUUGUACUGCGCAUGCGCAGACCUAUCUUCGUAAAUACGCAUCUUUUGUUGAAAGGAUAUUAAGCAAAGUUGUAGCCCUCAUCAAGGCGGACAACAUUCGUUAAUGUCUUCUUAACAAAAUAUGCUUCCCAGCCGGAAUUUCGGUCUGGACCUCUAUCUGGCUGAAACUUUCGCGGAAAAGUUGAUGUCACGAAAAAUGUCCAUGAAAUCAUUUUCUGAAUCAGAAUUUUACGCUGAAUCAAAUGGUGAUAGUGUCGUCCCCAGCCGCCGCAUUGGUCCCGAGUUAUGGAAGGUUAUGUACUGCGCAUGCGCAGAUCUAUCUUCGUAAAUACGCAUCUUUUGUUGAAAGGAUAUUAAGCAAAGUUGUAGCCCUCAUCAAUGCGAACAACAUUCGUUAAUGUCUUCUCAACAAAAUAUGCAAGCGUAAGGUUUUACGUUCUGCGCAUGCGCAGACCUUCUCCUUCCCAGCCGGAAUUUCGGUCUGGAGCUCUAUCUGGCUGAAACUUUCGCGGAAAAGUUGAUGUCACGAAAAAUGUCCAUGAAAUCAUUUUCUGAAUCAGAAUUUUACCCUGAAUCCAAUGGUGAUAGUGUCGUUCCCAGCCGCCGCAUUGGUCCCGAGUUAUGGAAGGUUAUGUACUGCGCAUGCGCAGAACUAUCUUCGUAAAUACGCAUCUUUUGUUGAAAGGAUAUUAAGCAAAGUUGUAGCCCUCAUCAAGGCGAACAA